CUUCCUUUGCUCGAGAAUCUUUUUACAACAAUGGCAUAUUAUUUAUCAUGUUCAGUUUUUGUAGUGUGUUAUAUAUACAUAUGUAUUUGAGAGAGAUACUGUAUUGUAAAAUUGCAAUUCUUUGUUAUAUCAACCAGAAGCUGUGUUCUCAAUAUUAAUACAAAUACGAUUUCAAAAAUUUGUAAUAUUUUAUUUAAAAACACAAUUCUUAGACAGAUCAAAUUAGCUGCUUUGAGCCAGUACGUUUAAUAUCUUUUAAUUACAAUUUUUUGAAUAGGUUUUCAUGACAAUUGGUUUUUUUUUUCUUUUGUCUCAUUGCAAAGCAGUUUAAACUAAUCCUUAUAAAUGUCAUAACAAGACAGAUUUUAUUCCCAAUAAUCUGUUAAGCCACAUUAAUCAUCAAUUUCACUAUGGAGUGAAUGUUCACUUGCAUAACAGCCUAACCAUUGUCUGCUCUCAGUAUUAACAAUGCUUACCUCUUUCAGGCAAGCUCAAACGAAUACUUGCGCUUUUAGCUAUAGGUCUCUACGUUCUAUAAAGGAAAGCAUAAAAUUAUGGAAUUUGUUAACAAUGAACAAAUGUUUAAGUUCAUAAUUUAUAUUAAAUUUUGAAUUAUCGCUCAUGUGACUUUUAUAAUACAACCUUUGUCGUUG
rnacentral:misc_RNA from 1 species